rnacentral:rRNA from 1 species
GAUGAACGCUGACAGAAUGCUUAACACAUGCAAGUCUACUUGAACUUCGGUUUGGGUGGCGGACGGGUGAGUAACGCGUAAAGAACUUGCCUCACAGAUAGGGACAACAUUUGGAAACGAAUGCUAAUACCUGAUAUUAUGAUUUUAGGGCAUCCUAGAAUUAUGAAAGCUAUAUGCACUGUGAGAGAGCUUUGCGUCCCAUUAGCUAGUUGGAGAGGUAACGGCUCACCAAGGCGAUGAUGGGUAGCCGGCCUGAGAGGGUGAUCGGCCACAAGGGGACUGAGACACGGCCCUUACUCCUACGGGAGGCAGCAGUGGGGAAUAUUGGACAAUGGACCAAGAGUCUGAUCCAGCAAUUCUGUGUGCACGAUGAAGUUUUUCGGAAUGUAAAGUGCUUUCAGUUGGGAAGAAAAAAAUGACGGUACCAACAGAAGAAGAGACGGCUAAAUACGUG